rnacentral:tRNA from 1 species
CGCCAUUAUGGCUUGGUAGCUCAGUUGGUAGAGCACUUCCAUGGUAAGGAAGGGGUCGUCGGUUCAAAUCCGACAAGUGGCUU